rnacentral:rRNA from 1 species
UACGAACCGAGCGAACGUUGUUCGGAAUCACUGGGCUUAAAGGGCGCGUAGGCGGGCUGUCAAGUCUGGGGUGAAAUCCCGCGGCUCAACCGUGGAACUGCCUUAGAUACUGACGGCCUCGAGGGAGGUAGGGGCGAGCGGAACUGUGAGUGGAGCGGUGAAAUGCGUUGAUAUUCACAGGAACUCCGGUGGCGAAGGCGGCUCGCUGGACCUUUUCUGACGCUGAGGCGCGAAAGCUAGGGGAGCAAACGGG